UACCAGCACCCCGAGUGGUCGGGACGUUUAUUGGGCCUAAAGCAUCCGUAGCCGGUUCUACAAGUCUUCCGUUAAAUCCAGCUGCUUAACAGAUGGGCUGCGGAAGAUACUAUGGAGCUAGGAGGCGGGAGAGGCAAGCGGUACUCGAUGGGUAGGGGUAAAAUCCGUUGAUCCAUUGAAGACCACCAGUGGCGAAGGCGGCUUGCCAGAAUGCGCUCGACGGUGAGGGAUGAAAGCUGGGGGAGCAACCGG
rnacentral:rRNA from 1 species